UACGGAGGAUGCGAGCGUUAUCCGGAAUCAUUGGGUUUAAAGGGUCCGUAGGCGGGCUGAUAAGUCAGAGGUGAAAGCGCUUAGCUCAACUAAGCAACUGCCUUUGAAACUGUCAGUCUUGAAUAAUUGUGAAGUAGUUGGAAUGUGUAGUGUAGCGGUGAAAUGCUUAGAUAUUACACAGAACACCGAUAGCGAAGGCAUAUUACUAACAAUUUAUUGACGCUGAUGGACGAAAGCGUGGGGAGCGAACAGG
rnacentral:rRNA from 1 species